CUCGCCUCCAGGGUGGGUCUGCUACUAAUAGGGUGUGUGGCCUUGUUCAAGUGCCUUGUCUUCUCUGGGGCUUGAUGGCUUUUUCUACAAAAUGAGAAGGGUGACAACACUCACCACCCAGAGAAGUGACGCAGAGAUUCACUUUUGGAGACUGGUUCUACUGGAAUGAUGAAAGUUUUAUUUUAUUUUUUAUUCACCAGAGAGGCAAUCCAGGGGGUCAGAUUUCACAUCGUUCUUUAAAAAUAAAGGAGUUAGGCUAGCUCCCGGCUUCUUACCCUGUGGGUUGUGUAACAAUGUGGGGGUUGAAAAAUUAUGAUUUCUCAUCAGUAAAAGUUUGAUUUGUACACCUAUUUUACACACCCUCUAUACCUAGGGUCACCUUUUCUCAGGCGACAGGGAAUUGUGUGUGGAAAAAAAUCUCAGAGACCCUGGUCUGGAUCACAGAUUCUUAAGCAUGGAUCACCUUGACAGUCUGAUUGAAGCCUAUGGGAUCAUGUUUUUAAAAGCAUAAAAUAAAAUCCACGGGAUUACAAAGGAACCUGAUUAUACGAUGAUGAUUAUAUUAAAAUCAACAACCACCCACCUAGUUAGUUCAUAGAGUCCGAGUUAAGAACACCUGGAGCUUUGUACAUUUAGGACUUUUUGGAACUAAGUACUCCAAGCUCUGCUGACUUAGAAUGUUGGCAUCGCACAGGCCCUGGCAGCUUUAGACCAAUCACAACCACCGUGGAUUUAAUGUGAGCUGAUGAACGAUGCCAUCCCUGUCCAAAUGGCUCUGAAGCCUGAGAUGGAACGCGCUAAGAGAACUGGGCCUGGCUUCCAAAAUUCGAGCUGGUGUUACCCUUUUCCCCCGACCUUUGUUUUUGCAUUUUCAAAACAAGUUUGGCUCACUGUGUCGGAGAUGGAAGAGGAUAAAUUUGGAAAUGACAGUGAUAUAAAACAAAAGGUGAGGAAAUAAGCGGCAAACUCACACCCCGUCCCCUGGUCUAGAGUUCUUUCCAGAGCACAGCCUGUCAUGGGGCAUUGUCAACAAGGGGAUUUGGGCAAGACCUUUCAGAACGUUUUCUUGUCAAUAAAAUGGGAUCAACUGUU